rnacentral:misc_RNA from 1 species
CAACAUGGCUUCCAGCUUCUACCACUCCAUGGUACCUCAACCUACAUUUGUACCUCCUGCCCAAAACACUGUCCAACAAGAGUCACCCAAAGAAAAGAAAAAGAGGACUAGAAACCCAGAGAAUUGGAAAAAAGAGAAGAGAAAACGUGCAAUUCUCUCUGGCCAGGCGUACGUGAACACUAAAGGAGAGUUGGUGGGGCCUCGCGCUAUAGGUCCGGACUGUAACUGUAAGAAUAAAUGUUUUACGGCAGUGUCCGACGACAACCGUAAUGCUAUAUUUAACGGCUACUACUCCCUCAACAGCUAUGAUGAGCAGAACGCCUACUUGUAUGGUCUCAUCCGCCGCCACGAUAUACAGCGUAAGCGUAAACCUGUCUCUGAGCGGAGAACUUGUUCCUACAAAUACUAUAUUCGUAUUAAAGGAAAAGAGAUACAGGUGUGUAAGAAAGCUUUUGCCAACAUCCACGGUAUAUCAGAUAAGAAGAUCAGAACACUGUGUAUAAAGCAUGAGCAGAACAUCUUGUUUCCCAGAGACAACAGGGGAAGACAUCGCAACCGACCUAAGAAGGUAACGCCGGAGUUGGUGACACUGAUCAAGCAUCACAUCUUAAAAAUGUUGUCGGGGCCCAACGGUAGUGACUAUAUCAAGACAGACAAGAACCAGGGUCCUGAUGUUAACAUAUCCAAACUACACAAGAGUUUCCUGCAGCAGUAUGAACCUGAAGCUAUUGACCAAGAGACAGAUAAAGUCAUUAAGGACUAUGAUGCCAAGGUGAAGUCAUGGCUCUACUUCAAAGUGUUUCAUGAGGAAUUCAAAUCAAUGGACUUCAACACAGUCAAGAGGAAACUGUCAGAUUUACGCAAGAGUUUAGAAGCGUCGGGAGCUCUGCAGGCCACCAAGAAGAAGACCACCAAACAGUCGCGUCCACGGCCUCGUCCACAGGAGAACCAGGUCGCUCGCAACGCCACGCCCAUCGAUGCCUCCACAUCUUCCCUGGGUGUGGCGGUGUCGGCCGCCCCGGCCACACAGAUGGGUGGGUACAUGGGUCAGCAGCCCCCGACCCUCCCACCAAACCUCCAGUUAAGUGUUCUUGGUCUCCAGCAUUUAGGGAAUAACUCUCACGCUGGAGCAGCUUUCAACCCCACAGCAGCUGCUCAGCAGCCUCAACAGCAGCCUCUCAACCUCCAGACCGGUGGGGGCGGGGAACAGCCCCAGCCGCUGCCCUUAAACUUACACUCCAUGGGUGGUCACAUGCCUUCCUACUACCUCUCCUUAGGUCACAUGUCAAACCUCAUAUCCCUCCCCGUGUCUUCGGGAGGAGGAGUUCAGGGGGCCAAUACUCAGUCUGGCAACUUCCCCGGCCAGCACAACAUGCAGCAGUUUAACCCGGGUUCUAUCGUACCGUCUCACUCUGUAGCACAGACGGCUCCUGGACCUGCAGGUCAGCCUCACUUACUUCAGGGCGGGGUCGGGGUCACGUACGCUGGUCCUCAACACAACCACGCCAUGUACUGACCGUCUUAAUACAUUAUAAUGUGGCACAUUAUAAUGUAUACUGGUGGCAUUUUUAGUGAAGUAAUGUAUAAGGAUUUUGUAUGACCUACAGAUCAUUCAUCAAGUGACCUGUAAGAUGACCCACAGAGCAGGGCCUAUACUGUUUAAGAGGCCAUGGUGUUUGAGGUGGCACCACUGUCCCACCUGGAUCACUGUUAACUGACACUCAUCCAAUCACACCAGAGUUUAUGGAGCAGCGGGAGGCCUCGGUGAAGAGGUCUGACGGUGACACACAAUUGUUCUCUCCUUGUGACGUUCUUUUACAAAAUAAAAGAAGACUCCAACCUUGAACUAGUGAUUGUUUUGAGAGUCACCAAGUACACACCCAUCCACUAGUUAGCUGGACUUGGCUCCCUCAGAUAUAAACUUGAGAGUAUUACCAAACCUCACAUUUCCCUGCCUGGCACCAGGUCUGCUCUUCUCUACAUAACAUCCACCCAAAUAUUCUCUACAAAUUAAAAAUUUCUCAUGUUGAAAAUGUGGCAGUUGAUUUAAUAAUCCCCAAAAUAAAAAAUGGUUUUCCCCAUAAGUAGGAAAUUGGUACAGUACCGUAGUAAUUAGUGGUGUCACAAAAUACAAACAUUGAAUUGGUGGCACCUAUGUGUUGAGUUAAGGUGAGUCCCCUUGAGCCUGGUGAUUUACUCCCUCCAGCAGUGAAGAACAUAUCCAGUAGUAUUAGUUUAUUAUAUAUGAGUCAUUAUAGAAUACUGAAGACAUUUGUAUCGGCCUUUUUGUGAGGCAAAGCAGAGAAGUACAUGAAUUUCUAACUUUCCAUUUAACUUGUGUAAAUUGAUGCCUUGAAGGGAACUUUCCCAUUAUUGUAACUUACAGACAACUGAAGAUAGUGUAUUCUAUCUUUAUGAACUUCACUUUAUUAAUAGAGGGAUGAUGGACAUUUAUCCAGUAUGUAGGUGGAUGUGAGUGAGUGAGUGUGAUGACCAGAGGACUAGUCUUCCUUGAUAGGAGGUGAAGGACAUCUUGUCAAGGAUGUUUAUUGCUUCCUUGGUGCGCCCCCAAAUUCAUCAUCCCUCACUUACAGGCCACAUGCUUAAUAACUUGUUAGCUAUAAAACAAAGGAUCCACCUGUAGGUACGUAACUCCUCUUGGUGUGUUUCAUCAUUGGCAGGAAAAUGUGAGGCUUGUGGCUGGAUUCUCAAGUUUGUCUGAAGGAUUCAAAUUAAGUGAACUAGUUUGAGGGUUCAUCGUGGCAUACUAGUGGUCCACCUCUCUCGUGAAGUCAGCAGAAUAGAAGGUUACCUCAUGAACCUUAGUGUGGCUGAAUUAAUGCUUCUUUACAGUGUUAACUCUACCUGACAUUGACAGACAGUGGCCAUCCCUCAUAACACAACUGGCCCCCUGAACAUAACUGAGACAGACAGUGGCCAUCCCUCAUAACACAACUGGCCCCCUGGACAUAACUGAGACAGACAGUGGCCAUCCCUCAUAACACAACUGGCCCCCUGGACAUAACUGAGACAGACAGUGGCCAUGCCUCUUAACACAACUGGCCCACUGGACAUAACUAAGACAGACAGUGGCCAUCCCUCAUAACACAACUGGCCCCCUGGACAUAACUGAGACAGACAGUGGCCAUCCCUCAUAACACAACUGGCCCCCUGGACAUAACUGAGACAGACAGUGGCCAUGCCUCUUAACACUCUUGGCCACUGGACAGAGCCAGUUGGCUUUGUCUAUAAGUUGUUCAAGCAGGUAAACUUGCAGGUCACCUGAUUCUUCACCUCAACCAUAAAGAAAAUAUUUCAUACUUUUUUUUCCUUUUUGAUACUGUUGAAAAUCACAUAUUUGUUGUACAAUAUAGUACUGUACUGGCAAACUAUUAAACUAGUUAACAGAUAAAGUAGAUAUGGUGCUGAUCAAGUGUAUGAGGCAAGAUAUAUAUAUUUUUGGCUCCCAUGGGAUUGUUUGAGCAAGAAGAGGUAGUAGUAAAUAUAACCCCAAUACCCCUUAAUGAUAAGGAAACAAUGGCUGUGCUAGAGUAGGUUCUGACACUUUCUCAGUGAACAUAUUUUACAUUUACAAUAUCGUCGUCAGUAACUACCUGGAUGUGGGUUGUUCGCCUUCAUCAUCAUUUCCCUGGGCUUCACAGACACACUCAUGUUUACAGUUAGUUCUCCUGUAACCAGUUUAAUUGGUGUGUGUGGCCAGUCCAUCAUUCCAGUUACUUGUGAAAAAUCUCCUUAGCCGGACAGAAUUAUCACUGAACUGGACCUUGAUCACAGAGACAUCACAAAAUAAACCAGAAUAUAGGGAACAGUAGAACAAUAUUGUGUCGAAAGGUAAAUAAAAAAAAAGUGUGUGUAAUAUAAGUGUUGGGCUGGGUGUAGUAAACAGAAAUGAGAGAAUGCUGUAGAGAUAAUAAUAAUAGACAAGUCUUAUUAGUCUCAGACACAGAUAUUGUUUAAUUCUGGUUAAGAAUUGUUGAGUUAAUGGAGACCUCAAUGUACAUCAGUGGUUUAUAGUGGUACUUUAAUUGACAGAUAGUAAGGAUUUAGUAUCACACUCUUGACUAAGUGGACAUCUUUUCCAUGUGUAACAGUCGGUCCUCCAAUACAGAUUCAAGUUUGUUUUGAACACAUAAUUGCUUUCUACAUUUAUAGCAUCUUAAAUAAUUUUUACAACAUUUACCAUUGUUUAAAAAAUCAUUAUAAACACUUAGAGAUAUUCAAUAAAAUAUUAAUAUGAUGUCAUAAAGAAAUAAACUGUAAAAUAGGAAAGGAAAAUAUUGUUGGCAGUGUCCAGGGCCAACAGGUAAUACACCUUUUACUGUGUUUUACUCUUUACUUCACUAAAUCAUAUCAAAGAGUCUAUGCUCUGGGAGGAUGGCUCACUCAGUGUUAAGUUUUUGAUCUCCCGCUAAGGUGGCACCGCCAAGUAGUCAGUAGGUUAUGGACAUCAAUGUUUAGGUGUCUAGGAAUGUUGUCUCAUAGCAACACAUUGAUGAUUUUGCCAAAAAACAAUGCACUAAUAUUUGCUUACUUAAAGGGAAUAUACUUCCUUCGGUUGUUCAGUAAGAGCAGUGGUGGCAGCUGCAGCUUUACACCAGUUAAUUUGGAAGAAAAAAAUCACAAAGUAAACCAAUGCACUUUGUUGUAAUUGUUUUGAACAAGUUAUUAAUGAUAUAAAGAACAUCAGUGUUUUUACAAGUCGGUAAAAGAAUUGGCAGUAACAUUACUGUACUUUUUCACGAGGUUAUUGAUGACCAACAUUUAACAAAAAAGUACUGUACAGCUUCCAUCCCACAACUACCAAGGUAUUGCUGGAAAUUUAUGACUAGCUGUAAAAAUUAGUUUCCUACUGUGGAAAAAGUUUGAAGAUCAGACUACAUUAUUCCAUGUUGAAAUAAUAUUUAUUCAGUGAAAUUGUCAUGCAGGUUUACAGUUAGAUAGGCAUGUAUGUAGACUAUGCUUCUGUAUGCCACUUGCCACAUGGAAUUUUUCUUGAAUCAUCAGUGAUUUAAAGUAAGAAAAAUUGAGUGAAAUUGCCUUCAUAGGUUAGGUUGGGAUUGGUUAGGUUUUCAUGAAUUUCACACUUGUUUCUUGGGUUCAUGUUGACUCAUAAGGGAUGAGUUGUAAUCCAUUCAAAACAUCGAACUAUGCAGCAAAACAUCAUUUCAUCAAAAAGUCGUUGGGGUCUAAAAACGAAUAUUGAGCCAAAAUGUCAAAGUUCCAGCCUUAUGUUUUCAACAAUCCAACAAUAUUCUGCUAACUUUAUAAAUAUAUUUUGUUGAUAAUCUGUUGUUCACUAAAGGUUCUGAAGAGUAGAAAAUUAUCAAUACUGAAGACAUUAAAUGAAGAGAGAGCUCAUAAAAACAUUGGCACAAGUAGCUUUAUGACUCGCUCUUUUUGGCUCCUUUGGUAAUCUGAAUAAAGACAGAUUUCUGUUCCUUUUCGUGUUGUUGGAACAAUCAUUAUAACACAUUGUAGGUGGUAAAAUACACUGAUAUCCCCAUUAGUCUGAGCAGUUGGUGUAGAGCACUCCAAGGAAUGACAGAUUUCUGGGAACGAAGCGACUCAUCAGACCAAGAAAAAAUCCCCCGUCCCUUAAAUUUUUCCGGGUACAGUACUGGGAAAAGUUUAUUGGAAUUUUUUGCUUUAUUUCAUCCUUGGAAUUUGCUUUCAGAACCCAGAAAAAAAAAUAUUGGAGAGAGUUUCUAGAAUUUUGCUCAUAAUUUUCCAGAAAAUGUGCCCGAUUUUCAACCUCAUAGAAUCAUUCCAAAACCCAGAACUGAGAGAAAUUUCCCAGAGAAAUUCCAAGCAAAUUUCAGUUCUGGCUAUUGGGGAGUUCCGGCCAACACUCAUUGAAAUGUGCGUCUCCCUCUCUUUAAUCUCUGCCUGCCAUUUAUUGUUUGUGCUUGGCUGGGCCACAGUCGGGGUGAAUGAGUUCACCCAAUGUAGUGAGCCAUCUCUUUACAGUAUAGACUCCUUGGUCAUACUUCAAAUAAUUUAUGUUUUUUUUUUAAUUUUAGGUUAAGUGUAGGAGACUCCUGAGUCCUGGAGAAACUGUUGUUCUGUUGUGUAUUAAUUACUUCUCUCUCCACAAAUGUUAAUAAAGAGAAGAAAGUUAAGAUAAAGUUUGUCUCGUGAAGCAGUUGUGUUAUGACUUGAACCACAGCAGGUGACAACUGCAGGUAUGACAGUACUGUACUGGUGUACCACAACACACUUCGCCACAAUAUACCUCACAACACACUUCACCACAUUGUGCCACAAUUAUGUUAGAUAAUUUAUGUAUGAUAAUAAGUUACAACUGUUUGAGGAUAUUAAAUUAGGUUGAGGUUUACCAUAAUAACACAGUACAGUGCAGCACAACACAGUACAGUGCAGUACAGUACAGUACAACACA